GACCGAGAGGGCCUCGGCUGU
rnacentral:miRNA from 2 species